UUGCCGAAAGAUCGGCCCGCGUCGGAUUAGCUAGUUGGUGGGGUAAUGGCUCACCAAGGCGACGAUCCGUAGCUGGUCUGAGAGGAUGACCAGCCACACUGGGACUGAGACACGGCCCAG
rnacentral:rRNA from 1 species